GACUUACUUUAAAUCCAGUAAGACGAAGAAGAUAUUCUGUUCGUGCGCCAAACUCAUUGUGGCAUAUAGACGGCUAUCAUAAAUUGAUAAGCUGGCACUUAGUUGUUCAUGGAGGUAUAGACGGUUAUUCUCGCCUCCCUACAUAUUUAAAGAUUAGCAACAACAAUAGAGCAGAAACUGUUAUGCAAGCAUUUAAUGAAGCUGUUCAAAAUUAUGGAUUGCCAUGGAGAGUUAGAUCGGAUAAAGGGGGCGAGAACGUUCGUGUUGCAGAAUAUAUGAUAAAUUCCAGAGGUUUUGGAAGAGGCAGCCAUAUUACUGGAAGAAGUGUCCAUAAUCAGAGAAUAGAGAGAUUUUGGAGAGAUUUGUGGAUGGGAUGCAUCAGUUUUUUCUACUACCUUUUUUGCUACAUGGAAGCAGAAAACAUAUUUAUACCAACUGAUGAAAUACAUAUUCAAGCCCUACACUAUAUCUUCAUACCAAGGAUUCAAAAACACUUGAACGAAUUUAGAGAGGCCUUUAUCAGGCGAUCUAUUAGGACAGCUAAUCAGAAAACGCCGUUACAGUUAUGGAUAGAUGGUCAAAUCCUGGAUCCAAAUGAAAAUCUUGCUUCUGAGGCAGACUUUCAAAGUUACGGAACAAUACAAAAUGGUUUGAUGGCAUAU